UAUAGUGAUUUAAUCAAGACUAGACUCUGCUACCCUAACCUCAUUUCCUUUGUCCAUAGGAUCGAAUGAAAUGUGAAUUAGGGGAAUGCCAUAAAUGUGGAUCUCUGCAAAGGAUUUGACAAAGCCUCUUGUACUUUUGUAGUGCGUGAGAUGAAGACAAAGGGAUUAGAUACAUUUGGGAAGAUUCAGAACUAGUUAGAUGCCUGGACCCAGACACUAGAUGUGUGACUCCAUUGGGGGAUUGUUUGAAGAAUAAAAACAACAACCAAACCUUACAGGCCCCAUGGGGAAGAGAAGACAAAGAGAAUUACCAGGGGAUGUGCAAUGUGAUUAGACCACCACACUGAAGAAGUGGAGGAAGAAAGAAGUACACAGUGCUCUCCCUUGCUGCCAUUUCUCACCUGGUUGCAGAGUAGGAAAUGUGCUGAGGCUCUCCUGAAAACAGAGGGCGAGAAGCAGGACAGUCAGCAGGGCCUUCAUUUCUCCAGUCGUUCCUGAAGGAGAUCAGGGCAGCUCAACGCAACUUGAAGAACCUCGUGGGUCUAAGGCCAUAAGGGAUUUCAAAGGGAUUCAGAGACGAAAAACAAAUAAACAGCGCUCUCCGCAUUGGAACGGACCCCCUCCAUGGGGAAUAAAUUGGUUGUCAGAGAAUAUGUUGUUGCUGCUGUUCGAACUUCCGUCUCUAAGAGGACCGUGACUUCAGGAUGUCAUUCAUUGGCUCUGAGUGAGGGAGAGCUGCGCAGUCACCAGCCUCACGUUCUCUUCCAGAACCAUCUGGGCCCAAUGGCCCGCUGUAGCUCGGGACGCCUUUUUAAACUAAGGCCUUUCUCGGGCCUCUGUUUGACUGAAACAACCUCCUUUCAGUAGUCAAGGUCGGGUAAGAUCUUUGUCAGAGAAUUAUAGUCCAGGAAAUCAUCUGGAAAGGGAAGACUUCUGGGUUUCUGGCCAAAACAGAAGUAAUUAUUAUUUAUAUAGGGAUGACCGCUUGUUGGUGAAAUUAUAUGGGGAUUAUGCGAAUAUUUCAACUGUAAGCCCUUGAAACUCCUUCUGACUAUGAGAUUCUAUGAUUCUAUGGUGAGCAUUAAAUAAACCUUUAUAUAACAAAAUAUACGCUUCUCAAGAGUACGAUUUUUUGUUUUUACCUUUAUAUAUUCAGGCCUAUCGCGAUAUAUGACACAUAUUGUUGUUUAAUAAAAGUAGAGUUAAACAGUGCUGAAUGUAGAGAGCCAGAGGCCCAGUCCCAGAUCUAACACUUAAUAUCUAGAACCCCUGAAGGAAAUCAUAAACUGGGCCUUAGUUGUAAAAAAAUGAUGUUGGCCUCUUAGGUUUGUUUUUCUGAAAUAAUGAAUUUCCUUAGAAUCGAGUUAAAAGUGUUUUGGGAGUUCUAUUGUUAUUGUUCUUUUCUUCUUCAUCCUUAUCUUCUUCAUCUUCCUGUUCUCAUUCUUUUUUUUUUACAAACAUGUAAAAGAAACUUCAGUUAUAGGCAAAUAGAAAGGCUCAGAAGUCCUAAGAAUUGGUCUUCAAAGAAGAUCAUGGGAUGAUAUCUUUUUUUUUUUAAAAUAAUUUUUUAUUGAUAGAACGCAUGCCGGGGUAAUUUUUACAGCAUUAUCCCUUGCACUCACUUCUGUUCCGAUUUUUCCCCUCCCUCCCUCCACCCCUUCCCCCAGAUGGCAAGCAGUCCUUUACAUGUUGAAUGGGUUGCAGUAUAUCCUAGAUACAAUAUAUGUGUGCAGAACCGAACAGUUUUCUUGUUGCACAGGGAGAAUUGAAUUCAGAAGGUAUAAAUAACCCGGGAGGAAAAACAUAAAUGCAAACAGUUUAUAUUCAUUUCCAGUGUUCUUUCUCUAGGUGUAGCUGCUUCUGUCCAUCUUUGAUCAAUUAAGGCUCUCUAUCAAAGAGGUCAACUUCCAUCAGAAUACAUCCUCAAACAGUAUCGUUGUUGAGGUAUAUAAUGAUCUCCUGGUUCUGCUCAUUUCACUUAGCAUCAGUUCAUGUAAGUCUCGCCAGUCCUCUCUGUAUUCAUCCUGCUGGUCAUUCCUUACAGAACAAUAAUAUUCCAUAACGUUCAUAUACCACAAUUUACCCAGCCAUUCUCCAAUUGAUGGGCAUCCAUUCAUUUUCCAGCUUCUAGCCACUACAAACAGGGCUGCUACAAACAUUUUGGCACAUACAGGUCCCUUUCCCUUCUUUAGUAUCUCUUUGGGGUAUAAGCCCAGUAGAAACACUGCUGGAUCAAAGGGUAUGCACAGCUUGAUAACUUUUUGAGCAUAGUUCCAAAUUACUCUCCAGAAUGGCUGGAUGUGUUCACAAUUCCACCAACAAUGUAUCAGUGUCCCUGUUUUCCCACAUCCCCUCCAACAUUCCCCAUUAUCUUUCCCUGUCAUUCUGGCCAAUCUGACAGGUGUGUAGUGGUAUCUCAGAGUUGUCUUAAUUUGCAUUUCUCUGAUCAAUAAUGAUUUGGAGCAUAUUUUCAUAUGUUUCAAUUUCUUCGUCUGAGAAUUGUCUGUUCAUAUCCUUUGACCAUUUAUCAAUUGGAGAAUGGUUUGAUUUCUUAUAGAUUAGGGUCAGUUCUCUAUAUAUUUUGGAAAUGAGGCCUUUAUCAGAACCUUUGACUGUAAAAAUGUUUUCCCAGUUUAUUGUUUCCCUUCUAAUCUUGUUUGCAUUUGUUUUGUUUGUACAAAAACUUUUCAAUUUGAUAUAAUCAAAAUUUUCUAUGUUGUGGUCAAUAGUGAUCUCUAGUUCUUCUUUGGUCAUAAAUUCCUCCCUCUUCCACAGGUCUGACAGGUAAACUAUCUUAUGCUCUUCCAAUUUAUUUAUAAUCUCAUUCUUUAUGCCUAGGUCAUGAACCCAUUUUGACCUUAUCUUGGUGUACGGUGUUAAGUGUGGGUCAAUGCCUAGUUUCUGCCAUACUGAUUUCCAAUUUUCCCAGCAAUUUUUGUCAAAUACUGCCUUCUUAUCCCAGAAACUGGGGUCUUUGGGUUUGUCAAACACUAUAUUAUUAAAGUUAUUGGCUGUUUUGUCCUUUGAACCUAACUUAUUCCAUUGAUCAACUAGUCUAUUUCUUAGCCAAUACCAGAUGGUUUUAGUAACUGCUGCUUUAUAAUAUAAUUUUAGAUCUGGUACAGCUAGGCCACCUUCAUUUGAUUUUUUUUUCAUUAAUUCCAUGGGGUGAUAUCUUAACUUAUGCAUGAAUUGGAUUUAAGUGAAGCAGAGUUGUACAUAGUUAUCUAAAACUGUAGAUCCCUUCUGAUUGGGAUUACCAGCGCAUAAUCCUAACAAUAAAGUUAAUAAUUCAUGUUCCUCUAAUGUUCUCAAAUUUAAGGAAAACUUUCCUUAUAACAACCCUAAGACAGAUAGUACAAGAGUUUUUAUCCUUAUUUGACAAAAUAGGAAACUGAGCCUUACAAAGGUUUGAGAGCCUUUUCAAUUGUCCAAUUUGAAUAGCCUGGAAUCAGGCUAUGAAACAGAAUUAUAUGGGAUUUUUGUUUGUUUGUUUAAGGCUUUCAUUUUAAGGCAGUGAUUUCUCAUCUUAUGAAAGAUGAAAUCUUUCAUAAAGCAAUCUAUAAAGGAGAUAAUCUCAGUUUAUGUUUUAUUCAAAUAAAAGUCAUUAUUCAUUUUCGAACAUGGAUUUUAAAAAUAGAAUAAAAGUAAUAUAAGAUAUAUCAUAUAAUUAAAAUCCCUAAAAGUGUUCAUAUUUAUAACAGGUAAAUAAGGCACAAAAGUAAUUUUAUUUCAUUUUAAAAUUGAGACAAAUUUAAAGAUUAUUAAAUUUAAAUGUAACUAUUGAAACAUUGUGAUGAUAUAAUUUCUGUUAAAGUCACUUAUUUUUUAAAAGCUGUAAAAUUUCUCUCUCUGUGUAUAUAUAUUUUAAAAGAAACUGGCUUAUUUUAUUAUGCUUCCAAAAUAAAUGACAUUGAGAAAUACCAAAAUAAAUGAUAUUAAUAAAUACAACAGAUAUGACUUGAGUUUUUAGAAAUGCUAUUAGGGAAAGAGGGGAGUCACAUUCAGGUUAAGUGUAAACUGAACAUCAUGGAGCCCUUUCCACAAAGAUUGAGUAAUUUUUGAGUUCAUAUCCUUCAUAUUCAAUUGGAGAUCAAUACAACUCAUCAGUCUCACAACUGUCCACACCAACCAGCUAUGAUGGGUCAAGGUUACCUGGAGAUGUAUAGCUCCAUUCCAAUUUGACCUUGGUUGGAUAUGUUUAUUAAAAACUCCCUGUACCACUGUCAGUUGGAGAUAAUUUACUGUGUUAGUCUUGGUUUUGUUGACUUGGAUUUAGACUUUGUUUUCAUAGACAAAAAUAGAUGUAUUUAUUUUAUUUAUGCAGGAGUUGAGCUUGGUAAUCCAAUCAUUUGGGCUAUUCCUUCACACCCCACCUGAGUUGCUCUUACAUCUGGGAAUGAGGAUGGACAGUGUGUUCCUCAGAUUAGGAAUCUGUUUCCAGGGUCAUUGAAGUCCAGUGGCAAGACAAAGUCAAGGUGCAGGGGAGACAAAGUGAUGACCUUGGCAUCUUUACUGUCUGACCAAAGUUUAAGUGCUCCACAGUAGCUGCUUUAGCCAUCUUCAUGGCCAUUGAAACAAAUUGUUCUCAUCCUCCUAUUCUACCGGGAGUAGAUUUCACAGGAUUUGGGUAGACACCUUCCUAAUUCACCUAAGGGUUUGUGACCCCUUGGUUACCCUUAAUCUGGUUUAGGGCACUGAUGAAAGUUCACUGAAAUGUGGCCACUGUGCAUAUUACAGCUUUUGGAGCCACGUGUGAGAGUUAGCUUAAUCACAAAGAGAAAGAGAGAGAGAGAGGAGAAUCAGAUAGACAGACACAGAAAGACAGAGAGAUAGAGACAGACAGAGUGAGUCAGAAAUAUAGUGAGGCAGACAGAGAGGGACAAAGAGAGGCAGUGACAUAGACACAGAGACAGAGAGAGAGAAAUAAAA